AUAAUAUCAAGUUAUUAACUAGCUAAGUAAUUAACUCCAUCAAGCAGAGUCCUUUUUGAGGAGCUAAUAGUCACUCACUCAGAUAGUCAACAAAUUCCCUGUCUUUCAUGAAACCCAAAGGUUCAUAAGUGCCUGUCACCAGCUAUUAAUUUGAGCCACAUGAAUUCAAUCCACACCCUCCCCACUAUUUGCCUAAGAACCAUCUUAAUAUUACCCUGCUGUCUAUGCUUAGAUCUUCUGAGUACUCUGUUCCCUUCAGGCUUCCCAACUAAAAUUUUGUACGCAUUUAUCUUCUCCAUGUGUGCUGUGUGCUUUGCUCAUCUCAUUCUCAUCCUCUGUGAUUUGAUCUUCAUAAAGUUUGGUGAAGAGUACAAAUUAUGGAACUAUUCAUUAUACUGUUUACUCCAGCAUCCUAUCAUAUCAUCCAUCAUAGAUUCAAAUACAGUAGACCCUCAUUAUACUGUGGAAUCAGAUAUACCAUUGGUAUGAUCAUAUCCUUCAAGAGCGUUAUGUUUUAUUUAAUAGAAAUUGGUACAAAAUAUGUUUUAACUUAUUUGUAAGACUGUGCUUCCAUACUUUCUGCCCAAAUUAUUUAGUUGACUGUACAGCCACAUUUUCUUGUAUAAUCAUGCAGGUAAAAGGGAUAAAGUUUAUCAUCAUUUCUGACAAAUUAAAUAUGUGACCAUUUUAGUAAUGAGAUAACAUAUUUGUACUUUACAGUAAUGUGUGUCAAUAGAAUCAAUAAAUAUGUAAUGUAUGUCUUGAAUUUAGUGUAUUUUAGUCACUAUGUAAGUUAUACAUAAAACUCAUGAUUUAAAAAUUAGAUAAAUGUUGUUUUCACUUAUAAUGCAGGUGUUGAAGCCGUCCCCUGAUGGCCAUGGUAUAAUGAGGGUCUACUGUAUUGUCCUCAGCACCUUGUUCUCAAGCAUUCUCAAUCUAUGUUCUUCCUUAACAUGAGACCAUGUUUUCACACCACUGAAAAAUAACAGAUGUGGAACUCAACACACUCACCUUUAAUGCAACGGCAGCCAUUGCCAAGGGCACGGAUAUAGCCCUCAACACUGGAUGGGCCAUUCAACUGGUCCUCGAGUAGGUAUGUGUUGUGGGAGGAAGAAAUGAAAUAAUGAGUGAAAGGAUGCCUCAUGUUCUGACACACCUUUCGAUGAAGAGGCUCGAAGAUGUCACACUCUUCUGACAGCAGGAAGAGUUGCAGGUCCUCCACAGAGAGAUAGUCUUUGUUUGCUAUCCUGCAGGGAAAAGGACACUUCACCUGGGAUGUGUUCACAAUGCAGUUAGCUGCAACAUGUAUUGUUUCUGUCAUUAAGACAGCUGCCCUCUGUGUUGUGCAGGCAUGUUUUGCUAACCUUUCAACUCAUAUUUCAACUGUGUAUUUUAUGACAAAUUUAAGAAAUUGAAGGAAUAUACAGGCUAUAUCUGAACUUAAUAGCCAUGAAUAAUGCUAUUUCUUUCGCCUAAAGGCGAAGUAAAGAGAAAUGAUGUUAUUGGUAGAAUGUAGUUUGUAUAUGUAUUGCAGUAAACAUUAACAACUUUGAAAAUGUGUACUUCAGUGUAGUACACAUACUCGUAUUUUCAAAAUAUAUUACAGAUACCAUUGAUAUUGUUUAUUUAUUGCAAAUACAAAUUCAUUACUGCAAAGAAAACUCUACAGAUAUCACACUGUAACAAGUCAGAAAUUAUUUGAUGUAUAUUUUAUUAAAGUUGUGUACAAAAAUAGUUCCUGAUAAAAGUUUGAGAUCUUAAUGAGAUCUGUAAUUUAUUCCAAGUACUAAGUUAUUACAAAACACAGAAUUUUUGAAAAAUAUGACAGGGCCUAAAACAUAAUUUGUGCUUCAGGUAAGGUAAAGGAUAAAAGUAACUGAUAUAUACAAAAAUCACCUAAUUGAUUUUUAUUUGGACCUCGCAAUUCUAAAAUCCAAAAUACAGUCAUCAUUCUGAUCCAAGUAUUUAUUUUAUGACAUUCUGUUACAGUUGUUCCUGAAUUUAUUUUUUCUGUGACUGUUUGAAAAUUGUCAACGGCCUUGAAAUGUGCUAUGCUAUAGAUGCUGAAGAUGAGAAUAAAGAAGUUGUUGUUCCGUUGACGACCUGAAUGGAACUGACAGACCACACUGUGGGAACCUCUGCUGUAUCAGCUGCUGAUAUGUAGCAUGGAAGUGGGAUUUGAGUCUAUGUGAUUCUGAGAAUUAUUAUGGUUUAGCAUAGCAACUAUCAGGCUCUCCUGUACUGAACCGUUUGAAG